UAGAUACCCUGGUAGUCCUAGCCGUAAACGAUGGACACUAGGUGUGGGGGAAUAUUUCUUCCGUGCCGCAGCUAACGCAUUAAGUGUCCCGCCUGGGGAGUACGGCCGCAAGGCUAAAACUCAAAGGAAUUGACGGGGGCCCGCACAAGCAGCGGAGCAUGUGGUUUAAUUCGAAGCAACGCGAAGAACCUUACCAGGCUUGACAUUUAGGUGAAGCGGCGGAAACGUCGUGGCCGAAAGGAGCCUAAAC
rnacentral:rRNA from 1 species